GGGCCCGUAAGUCUCGUUUACUUUCACUUUCGAUUUACCACUUCCGGGUACAUCGGCAGACUUAUUUACCGUUACGCAUAUAGGUAACCCGAAGAACUCGAGAGAUAUAGAAAUUAAAUUUGCUUCGGUCCUCUUCAGAUUUGAAGGAAUGGAAAGCUCGGGUCAAAAAAUGCAGGUAGGUCAAUUAUCUGACGGAAAAACGAGGGAUUUAUAGAGUUUAAUAAAACUAGUUUAUUUUCGGAUAGUGACAAUUGUUUCGGAUGUUUUGUCAAGAUGUGUAGACAGGGAAGUAUAUGACAAGUAUAGAAUAUACAGUUGUUCACUAUGGACCAUUAAUCAACUGUUUGCACUGCCUAUGACCCUGAAAUAUCUAUACAUCAAAGAUAAAAAGGGAAAAGAUGAAGGAGAAUUUGUCCAUGAAGACCUUCAUUGCAACUACCAUCUUCCAGUUCCUUAAUUUGAGAAUGAUAUCAGAGAACACACAGUUACAGUGCAAUAUUGGUUUAAUAUAAGUCACUGAGAAUAGUCAAAUGUAUUUUCCUGAAGAAGAUGAAUGACAUCCAGCACAAAAAUCUUAAUGUAAAAGAGUAUGAUUUUAUGGUGUUUGACACUAUGAGUCCAUAAUCAAGUUAACUUGUUAAUGUCACAAUGAUAGAAACAGAGUAAAAUAUCCACAUUUCAUUGCAGUUUUAAGUAUUAAAACUAGAUACUCUAUAUAUACCAAAGUAGAAAACACACCAGAGAUAAGGAUUUUCAUGGAAUCACAGUAUAGUCAUUUGUCAUUAUGGACAUUAAAUGACUAUGAAGUAAAGAUGAAAAAGAAAUAGCAAAAAUAUUAUAUAUCAUCUACUACUAAUAUUGUGAGGUAAUCAUUAAUAAGCUCACAAAUUUGCAUUCAAAGAUUUGAUAUCAAGCUGACCAUUUUUCAAUUAGAAUAUGAUUUAUAACUCUAUGAUAAUGUGUUCAUGUUAAUUUUCAAAGUCUUUAUAUUUGUAAAAGGAAAUAUUCUUAUUCUUGUAUCAGUAGACAUUCACAGUGUAAAGUUACAUUGUCCAAAUAACUAAUAAUAAUUUCAAGUGCUUUCCUGAAGUUUUUCUUCCACUGAGUGGAAUAUCAGUGUGAUAUACAUGUAUAUGCU